rnacentral:rRNA from 1 species
CCUACGGGUGGCAGCAGUGAGGAAUAUUGGUCAAUGGGCGAGAGCCUGAACCAGCCAAGUAGCGUGAAGGAUGACUGCCCUACGGGUUGUAAACUUCUUUUAUAAAGGAAUAAAGUGAGGCACGCGUGCCGUUUUGUAUGUAUCUUAUGAAUAAGGAUCGGCUAACUCCGUGCCAGCAGCCGCGGUAAUACGGAGGAUCCGAGCGUUAUCCGGAUUUAUUGGGUUUAAAGGGAGCGUAGAUGGGUUGUUAAGUCAGUUGUUAAAGUUUGCGGCUCAACCGGAAAAUUGCAGUUGAAACUGGCAGUCUUGAGUACAGUAGAGGUAGGCGGAAUUCGUGGUGUAGCGGGGAAAUGCUUAGAUAUUACGAAGAACUCCGAUUGCGAAGGCAGCCCAC